GACAUGUACGGAACUCGCCAGAGAUGGCUUGGUGCUCGAAAGAGAACCGUAACACAGGUGCUGCAUGGCUGUCGUCAGCUCGUGUCGUGAGAUGUUGGGUUAAGUCCCGCAACGAGCGCAACCCUUGUCAUUAGUUGCUACAUUUAGUUGGGCACUCUAAUGAGACUGCCGGUGACAAGCCGGAGGAAGUGGGGAUGACGUCAAGUCCUCAUGGCCCUUAUAGGUGGGGCUACACACGUCAUACAAUGGCUGGUACAGAGGGUUGCCAACCCGCGAGGGGGAGCUAAUCCCAUAAAACCAGUCGUAGUCCGGAUCGCAGUCUGCAACUCGACUGCGUGAAGUCGGAAUCGCUAGUAAUCGCGGAUCAGAAUGUCGCGGUGAAUACGUUCCCGGGUCUU
rnacentral:rRNA from 1 species